CAGUUUUCGAGGAACCGGUCAACGUGACUUCCGGAGCGGCCUUGCCCGUCGGAUAUCAUUUAUCAACGGAGGCCAUACUCAACUGUAGGAUAGGAAUGCUGCAAGACAAAACGUGGACGAAAUGGGCUACGAAUUCUACGAUCGUUACUUGAAACUGGAACUAUGGAAAGAGGCUUGAUUAGCUGGACCAAGGAUGGCGCCAAACUGCCGAAGGAUGUCAAGAUGAGUUUUAGCUAAAACCAAACAGUGGCUCAUAAGCCGCACAUCGAUCCUGCAGGCGGACCUUGUCCACAAUGGUGUCUACGACUGCACCGUCGCUGGCAAACAGUCCUGAACGGUGAGACGCCGGCCGCAUAACUCUGGUCCUCGAUGCGAGAAGUCAAUAAUCCUGGUCCGCAUUGCUACGAUGGAUGCGACGUUGUCGUCGUUUGCUCUACGGAAUCUCGGUUGGUUGCAAUCAAACAACCUUCUGCACUGUUAAUGGCAAGCAGAGGAGCAUACGAACUCUUGAUUCUUAUUGCAUUGUUCCUUAUUGGAGGAUGCACUCAACCGGUAUAAAAUGAACGAAAAUGUGCAUGUAUCAUACAAACCUAUGGAAGAUGUAUCAGGAUUGACGAGUUCUUUCAACAAAAUAAGUUAGUUUUAUCUUUAUUUUAUAUUUAUUUUCAGAUCAGUUAGACUGUGUCGUUCGCUGGGAACGUUAUUUUCUUGACACGUGCUACCAUAUCUUUUGUUAAGUGUAUCUUUUGAUCGUGAAAUAAACAGGGUCUUGCAGCUCCUUUAUUUAUUUAAAUAUAAAAAUAAUUAUAUUUAUAAGAACGGCUCACCAAGAUGGUACGUAAAA